ACCCAGUUCCAAACUUUGACCUCUUAUACUUGAAUCUCCUACAGUCAACUGUUGAUGGAGCCAGUCACUAUAAGAGAAGGAACGGAAGCUGGGACCAGUCUGUCUUCUCUGCCUCCUCCCUGUAACAGGAAAGGAAGAACAAGAGACAAACCCCUGCUUCUCCCCUGCUUCAAAAUAUGAAAUUAACGUGGAUUUUGGAGUUUUAGUUGGCCUGAUGAAGGUACCCCUUCCAAGAAUGCCUGGAUGUGUGGUCACUGAGCAAAAGUCUUUGCGAGGGCAAUGACUUGGGGUGCACAGCUGGGUCUCCAGGCCAGGGCCAAGAUGACAUGGAUAGGCCAGCGUGGCAUGUGCUGGGAUGCUCUCAUCCCUAAGCUGGAGCAUGAAAUAGCAAGAUGCAGCUCCCUGAUGUGUUGGUCCAGCAGUUGGGCGAAAAUGACCCGACCACCAAGAAGAGCGUCAACAUUAUCCUAGUCUCUGAUGUAAAGAGACUACAUAAAAAGUAUCCAACCAUCACCAUCAUUGUAGGUCAGAGCUCCUACAAUGUGAGCAAUGGCUGUGUUAAUCAUGUCCUCUGGAAGAUAAGCGUUGUGGAGCAAUGGGACACCUUGGUGGCCAUGUUAUCCCACACCCAGCAAUGAAGUUUUUGACAGUAUGGACUUUUACAGGCCUGAUGGUGUACAUUUGAUGCCUGCUGGAAAGGAAUGCUGGCUGAGCAUUGGUUGCAGCUGUAGGUGUGUUUGGUGGAAAGAUGGCAAAAAUUGGUCAACGGAUAAGGCAUUCGUUGAAAUCCUUAGUCCAAUUCUGGAUGGGGUGAAGUGGUCUAUCAUUCCAGCUUCAAGCAGGUGUGUUCACAGAAGGGCUGGGUGGUACUCUUAUUGUCUAAAACCAGUAUGGCAUUCACAUUGCAAUACUGGUUUCAUACUUUUUGAUGUACCAAUACAUCAUGGCUCCUCAGCUGCCGCGAUGUAUCAGCAUCUCAAAUUGCCUUUGCCCAAGCGGGCGGGCUGCAACUUCCCUCUUGGGGCAGUUGGUUGCUCCAGGAGGAAACACACAGCCUGCGCAUUUGGGCAAAGGCAGGUAGGCACCUUUGAGGUAGGGCUGGGUAAUGUUGGGUUUUCAACACUGUGGUUUGGUGAUAAACCGUGAUGUUGAAAGAAGCUGCAUUGGCCCCAACCGGCGAGGCGCGGUGAAA